GAAGUUUAUUAACUCUCAUUUCCUUGGGGAUGUUUCCAGGCAGCUCCUGCUUUCUCUGGAAGGAUUACUCGGUCAAAAGCCAAGAUCCAAGAAGGAAAAUCUAUGAUACCAAUUCUGAUACCAACUGUAUCUAAGUCCUCUAUGGUCAGUGCCCAAGGGCAGAGCGUGCGCUCUACACAGGCAGGACAUAAACAGAUGAGCACAGCCAAAGUGGCUGAAAAAGAGAAAGUGUUGCAGACUGCAGCCCAACCAGCCCCCAGUGUGAGAGUCACCAGAGCAGCUGCCUCUGCAGCCAGG
rnacentral:lncRNA from 1 species